rnacentral:rRNA from 1 species
ACCGGAUAAUAUUUUGAACCGCAUGGUUCAAAAGUGAAAGACGGUCUUGCUGUCACUUAUAGAUGGAUCCGCGCUGCAUUAGCUAGUUGGUAAGGUAACGGCUUACCAAGGCAACGAUGCAUAGCCGACCUGAGAGGGUGAUCGGCCACACUGGAACUGAGACACGGUCCAGACUCCUACGGGAGGCAGCAGUAGGGAAUCUUCCGCAAUGGGCGAAAGCCUGACGGAGCAACGCCGCGUGAGUGAUGAAGGUCUUCGGAUCGUAAAACUCUGUUAUUAGGGAAGAACAUAUGUGUAAGUAACUGUGCACAUCUUGACGGUACCUAAUCAGAAAGCCACGGCUAACUACGUGCCAGCAGCCGCGGUAAUACGUAGGUGGCAAGCGUUAUCCGGAAUUAUUGGGCGUAAAGCGCGCGUAGGCGGUUUUUUAAGUCUGAUGUGAAAGCCCACGGCUCAACCGUGGAGGGUCAUUGGAAACUGGAAAACUUGAGUGCAGAAGAGGAAAGUGGAAUUCCAUGUGUAGCGGUGAAAUGCGCAGAGAUAUGGAGGAACACCAGUGGCGAAGGCGACUUUCUGGUCUGUAACUGACGCUGAUGUGCGAAAGCGUGGGGAUCAAACAGGAUUAGAUACCCUGGUAGUCCACGCCGUAAACGAUGAGUGCUAAGUGUUAGGGGGUUUCCGCCCCUUAGUGCUGCAGCUAACGCAUUAAGCACUCCGCCUGGGGAGUACGACCGCAAGGUUGAAACUCAAAGGAAUUGACGGGGACCCGCACAAGCGGUGGA